AUUGUCUAAAGUCUUAACAAAAAAGACUAGAAUGCUUUAUAAGCAACCGGGUUCACCCUGAUCAGGUUGGCUUUUUCCAACACUGGUAUGGCACUGAUAGCAAACACAUAAAAGUAUAUAAAAUGGGCUAUGAGGACCUGCCAAACCCCUGCCAUAGCUCUGUCCCUGAAUGCUGAGAAUGCAUUUGAUAGGGUGGAGUGGGGUUUCCUAUUUAAAGCCCUGGAGACCGAUGGAUUUAGCCCCCACUUUAUAUGAUGGAUCAAAACCCUGUAUUCCGGGGGCCAGUGCCACAGUUACCGCCAAUGGAACUAUUUCUAAGCAAUUCAGUCUCCAUACAGCCCCACAGUGCAGGUGUCAUAAUACCCAUAAAACCUAGCGGUCAAACAGGGAAAUGGUUCCAAUCGUUUUUCCACCAUCUAUCAAAUAAAACUCCUGGAGUCUAUAGAGUGAACCUUGGAGUAAUAUCAUGACUCCAGGCCGUGAAGAGAAUAUGGAAAAUAGACUUGGCCUGCGAUAUCACCAAGGCAGAAUGGAAUGAGGUUUUCGGCAGAUGUCUCUAAAGCUAACGCAAUCGAAAACGAUACACCUUUACCAUUUGACUCCUAGUAAGCUUCACAGGGUCGGUCUGAAGCCCACAGACGCCUGCUGCUGGAGAUGUUCAUCUGAAGAGGGGACUUAUCUACAUAUGGAGGUUGUCAAAGAUAACUGGUGGAGUUUACCAGCAAGGAGAGCCUCACUUCACUUCAUGAAAUGACCAUCAUCCCCAGCAUCGACUAUGAAGCUACAGUGCCUUUCGAGUCCAGAUUGCUGUCCCUCAAAAAAACCGGGUCCUGUAGACCUGUCUAACCGCCAGUCAGUGCCAACCAUCCCCAUCAACGACCUCAUACAGAAACUGUCCAAAGAGGACAGUACCAACAAAUCACCUCCCUUACAGAGACAUACCAGCUAACAGAAGAGAAUGUCUGCGCUUCCUGGUCUGCUCGCUGCUGAACGACAUAGCUGCUGCAUAUUUCCCAGAAUGCAACAUUCUGCCCUCCUCCAUGAACGGCUUCCGGAAGCUGGGCUGUGAACUAGACAUGUUUCACGACCUGGAUGACAUCAAUGGAAGGAAUCUUAAGGUGCGGAUGGGGAUGGAGGAACCACAUCAGGGUCAUGUUCAGUAGGGCACAACGUAGCAAAAGGUCUUGCAACGGAAAACAAAAACAGUUUUGUUAUUGAAAUAAGUCCAGGUAGGAAUCUAAAGGAGAAGGACAUUUUAACCCUUUAUAAAAGGGGUGGGCAACAUUGAUGGGGGUGGUGGCCACAGAAAAUCUGAACUCAUCAUGAGGGGCCACAGUUAGAGCCAGCCCUAGUCUUUUGGGGGCCGUAAGUGAAGCAAAACAUUUUAGCGGCCCCUCUCUUGACGGAGAGAGUUUUUAAGUUAAUCUCCUACAAUUCUUGGUCACUGAUAAGUGCCUAAAUUGGAACUUACUGGCUAUACUGUAACAUACUGUGUAUAUAUAACGUCCCUUUAUAGCGCUGUAUGGGAUUCAACUGACAGCCGUUCGAAACGUGUGUUCCAUGCACAACAAAAAUAUGCUACUUUUGGAAAUAUUUUGUUGUCUGAGUGAGGAUGAGACAUGAAGGAUGAGACUGUCAUUUAACAAUAUCAACAAUUAUGAUCGCUAUGUUUGAUGUACAGUUACAAGGAUGACACGCAUCUGUGUGAAGAGCCUUGUGAAAGCCUAACACUGUAAAAUUGUUUUUUAUAAAGUAGCUGGUAAUACAACAAGCUUUCAAAUGAUGCUCAUCUGAUCCAGAUUUCCAUUUUAUAAUGGAGAGUUUUUGGAUUGCAUAAACAAACAACAGUAAUUUUGUGAUGGUGUGGCAGGGAUGUGUUCCAAACAAAAAACGACAAGUGUGCUUGCUUCAGUUCCUCACAUGCAAAGCACCUUAUUGUUGAAGGCUCUUUCCUGGAGUCAUAAACGUGUAUGGAAAUGACUUAGGAACUGUGCAAGUUUUGGAGAGGCGUGUGGCCACUUGGAGACACCUGUUAGACCUCUCAUUCAAACCCUUGUAAUAUUUUUUUCUUAUGUUACACCUACCCCAAAAUUACCAUGAAUAUUCUUAUUAUAUUACUGAAUAAAUCCAGAGUAUUUUCA